GCUCAGAGGUAGAGCACCUGCCUUACAUGCAUGAAGCCCUGGGUUCGACCCCUAG
rnacentral:tRNA from 1 species